rnacentral:rRNA from 1 species
UACAGAGGUCCCAAGCGUUGUUCGGAUUCACUGGGCGUAAAGGGUGCGUAGGCGGUUGGGUAAGUCUGAUGUGAAAUCCCGCAGCUUAACUGCGGAACUGCAUCGGAUACUAUUCAGCUUGAGGGGUGGAGGGGAGACUGGAAUUCUCGGUGUAGCAGUGAAAUGCGUAGAUAUCGAGAGGAACACCAGUGGCGAAGGCGAGUCUCUGGACACCACCUGGCGCUGAGGCACGAAAGCCAGGGGAGCAAACGGG